UUACCUACGGGAGGCAGCAGUGGGGAAUAUUGCACAAUGGGGGAAACCCUGAUGCAGCGACGCCGCGUGAAGGAAGAAGUAUUUCGGUAUGUAAACUUCUAUCAGCAGGGAAGAAAAUGACGGUACCUGACUAAGAAGCCCCGGCUAACUACGUGCCAGCAGCCGCGGUAAUACGUAGGGAGCAAGCGUUAUCCGGAUUUAUUGGGUGUAAAGGGUGCGUAGACGGAGAAGCAAGUUAGUUGUGAAAUCCCUCGGCUUAACUGAGGAACUGCAACUAAAACUACUUCCCUUGAGUACUGGAGAGG
rnacentral:rRNA from 1 species